rnacentral:rRNA from 1 species
CAGCAGCCGCGGUAAUACGUAGGGUGCAAGCGUUAAUCGGAAUUACUGGGCGUAAAGCGUGCGCAGGCGGUUUGUUAAGACAGAUGUGAAAUCCCCGGGCUCAACCUGGGAACUGCAUUUGUGACCGGCAAGCUAGAGUGUGGCAGAGGGGGGUGGAAUUCCCGGUGUAGCAGUGAAAUGCGUAGAGAUCGGAAGAACACCAGUGGCGAAGGCGGCUCACUGGCUCAUACUGGACGCUGAGGUGCGAAAGCGUGGGGAGCAAACAGGAUUAGAUACCCCCGUAGUCCCUGUCUCUUAUACA